rnacentral:rRNA from 1 species
GACGAACGCUGGCGGCGUGCUUAACACAUGCAAGUCGAACGGAAAGGCCCUUCGGGGUACUCGAGUGGCGAACGGGUGAGUAACACGUGGGUGAUCUGCCCUGCACUUUGGGAUAAGCCUGGGAAACUGGGUCUAAUACCGAAUAUGACCACGCUCUUCAUGGGGUGUGGUGGAAGGCUUUUGCGGCGUGGGAUGGGCCCGCGGCCUAUCAGCUUGUUGGUGGGGUAAUGGCCUACCAAGGCGCCGACGGGGAGCCGGCCUGGGAGGGUGACCGGCCACGCUGGGACUGAGAUACGGCCCAUACUACUACGGGAGGCAGCAGUGGUGAAUAUUGCACAAUGGGCGCAAGCCUGAUGCAGCGACGCCGCGUGAGGGAUGACGGCCGUCGGGUUGUAAACCUCUUUCACCAGGGACGAAGCGCAAGUGACGGUACCUGGAGAAGAAGCACCGGCCAACUACGUGCCAGCAGCCGCCGUAA